rnacentral:lncRNA from 1 species
GUCAAUUAUUAAACUUUCAGGAGAUGGAAAAGAAGGCUCAUUUCACCUUGGGAGAGUCAAAGUAUGAGAUGGUUUCUCACACUGGAUAGGACAAAGAAAUGGAGAAGCCUAGUCCAAGAACAUACAAGAAAUCACAAAGAGGACUCGGUGCCAUGUGGCAACACCAUUGUGAAAAGAAUAACAACGUCUAUUAGUAGAGGCCAUGGAGAAAAGAUGUGGAAUUGAAUACCAUCAGCCACUGAGUGGAGCUAAAGAGGACCUGCAUAAAAAGCCAAGCAUGGCAGCAAGCCUGUGAUCCCAGGGUGAGGAAGGCAGAAGCAGGCAGAUCCUUCUAGCUUUCUGGCAAGCCAAGCUAUCCUAAUGGCCUUCAAUAACGCCUCUGUCCAGUCUCCUGAGGCUCUGAUGUGUACACUGAAGAAGUCCUCCUGGGGAGCGGAGGUGAGAGUGAAGGGGUGCCACUCCAGGGGGGAGACAGAUGGGCACUGGAUGAAGAUGUACUGUCCAGGUGCCAUCUUGAAGUCUCGCUUCUUCAUGUGAAGUUCCAGGACUGCAGAUGGGUGACUCACCACCUACAACAGAGCAAGAUAGCCAAGGGGAUUCUCACUCAGAUUUCUGCUUGCCCUCCCGACACUGCCUCUAAAGGACCUACUAUGUGCUUUCCUGCUAACAGAUCUAGGUUUCCACACUUGUUCCAGGCUUGAUUGACCUUCUACGGUUCUAAGCUUAAACUCAGAAACACAGAAACAUGUAAAAGCAGAAAUAGGAAUGCCUGUCCAUCUUCUUUCAAUGUGACAGUGAACGGUAGAGAAACCAUAAUAAAGAGAAAUAUGGCUAACUCCAGUUCUACGCUGUAAGCCUUUAUCAGAAUUCCGAAUAACAGCAUGGAGCUUUGAUCCCUGUCUCCAGUAAAAUUGGUCACACUGAAAGAUGCUCCCGAUACAAGCAAUUAUUAGACCAGAAGAUGAGCCUCUAAAUUACGGGCAGUUCUGCAAUAAAAAUGGCAAAUUAAAA